rnacentral:rRNA from 1 species
CAGUAGCCACGGUGAUACGAAGGGGGCUAGCGUUGCUCGGAAUUACUGGGCGUAAAGGGCGCGUAGGCGGACAGUUUAGUCAGAGGUGAAAGCCCAGGGCUCAACCUUGGAACUGCCUUUGAUACUGGCUGUCUUGAGUUCGGGAGAGGUGUGUGGAACGCCGAGUGUAGAGGUGAAAUUCGUAGAUAUUCGGCAGAACACCAGUGGCGAAGGCGACACACUGGCCCGAUACUGACGCUGAGGCGCGAAAGCGUGGGGAGCAAACAGGAUUAGAUACCCGGGUAGUCCCUGUCUCUUAUAC